rnacentral:rRNA from 1 species
UACGAAGGGGGCUAGCGUUGCUCGGAAUCACUGGGCGUAAAGCGCACGUAGGCGGACUCUUAAGUCGGUGGUGAAAUCCUGGAGCUCAACUCCAGAACUGCCUUCGAUACUGGGAGUCUCGAGUCCGGGAGAGGUGAGUGGAACUGCGAGUGUAGAGGUGAAAUUCGUAGAUAUUCGCAAGAACACCAGUGGCGAAGGCGGCUCACUGGCCCGGUACUGACGCUGAGGUGCGAAAGCGUGGGGAGCAAACAGG